rnacentral:rRNA from 1 species
GGUUAAGCGACUAAGCGUACACGGUGGAUGCCCUGGCAGUCAGAGGCGAUGAAGGACGUGCUAAUCUGCGAAAAGCGCCGGCGAGGUGAUAUGAACCUUUGACCCGGCGAUGUCCGAAUGGGGAAACCCAGUGUGAUUCGUCACACUAUCGUUAACUGAAUACAUAGGUUAACGAGGCGAACCGGGGGAACUGAAACAUCUAAGUACCCCGAGGAAAAGAAAUCAACCGAGAUUCCCCCAGUAGCGGCGAGCGAACGGGGAGCAGCCCAGAGUCUGAAUCAGCUUGUGUGUUAGUGGAACGGUCUGGAAAGUCCGACGGUACAGGGUGAUAGUCCCGUACACGAAAAUGCACAGGUUGUGAACUCGAAGAGUAGGGCGGGACACGUGGUAUCCUGUCUGAAUAUGGGGGGACCAUCCUCCAAGGCUAAAUACUCCUGACUGACCGAUAGUGAACCAGUACCGUGAGGGAAAGGCGAAAAGAACCCCGGCGAGGGGAGUGAAAAAGAACCUGAAACCGUGUACGUACAAGCAGUGGGAGCACCUUCGUGGUGUGACUGCGUACCUUUUGUAUAAUGGGUCAGCGACUUAUAUUCUGUAGCAAGGUUAACCGUAUAGGGGAGCCGAAGGGAAACCGAGUCUUAACUGGGCGUUAAGUUGCAGGGUAUAGACCCGAAACCCGGUGAUCUAGCCAUGGGCAGGUUGAAGGUUGGGUAACACUAACUGGAGGACCGAACCGACUAAUGUUGAAAAAUUAGCGGAUGACUUGUGGCUGGGGGUGAAAGGCCAAUCAAACCGGGAGAUAGCUGGUUCUCCCCGAAAGCUAUUUAGGUAGCGCCUCGUGAACUCAUCUUCGGGGGUAGAGCACUGUUUCGGCUAGGGGGCCAUCCCGGCUUACCAACCCGAUGCAAACUACGAAUACCGAAGAAUGUUAUCACGGGAGACACACGGCGGGUGCUAACGUCCGUCGUGAAGAGGGAAACAACCCAGACCGCCAGCUAAGGUCCCAAAGUCAUGGUUAAGUGGGAAACGAUGUGGGAAGGCACAGACAGCCAGGAUGUUGGCUUAGAAGCAGCCAUCAUUUAAAGAAAGCGUAAUAGCUCACUGGUCGAGUCGGCCUGCGCGGAAGAUGUAACGGGGCUAAACCAUGCACCGAAGCUGCGGCAGCGACGCUUAUGCGUUGUUGGGUAGGGGAGCGUUCUGUAAGCCGUUGAAGGUGUCCUGUGAGGGAUGCUGGAGGUAUCAGAAGUGCGAAUGCUGACAUAAGUAACGAUAAUGCGGGUGAAAAGCCCGCACGCCGGAAGACCAAGGGUUCCUGUCCAACGUUAAUCGGGGCAGGGUGAGUCGACCCCUAAGGCGAGGCCGAAAGGCGUAGUCGAUGGGAAACAGGUUAAUAUUCCUGUACUUGGUGUUACUGCGAAGGGGGGACGGAGAAGGCUAUGUUAGCCGGGCGACGGUUGUCCCGGUUUAAGCAUGUAGGCGGAGGUUCCAGGUAAAUCCGGUACCUUAUUAACGCUGAGGUGUGAUGACGAGGCACUACGGUGCUGAAGUAACAAAUGCCCUGCUUCCAGGAAAAGCCUCUAAGCAUCAGGUAACAUCAAAUCGUACCCCAAACCGACACAGGUGGUCAGGUAGAGAAUACCAAGGCGCUUGAGAGAACUCGGGUGAAGGAACUAGGCAAAAUGGUGCCGUAACUUCGGGAGAAGGCACGCUGAUAUGUAGGUGAAGCCCCUGCGGGUGGAGCUGAAAUCAGUCGAAGAUACCAGCUGGCUGCAACUGUUUAUUAAAAACACAGCACUGUGCAAACACGAAAGUGGACGUAUACGGUGUGACGCCUGCCCGGUGCCGGAAGGUUAAUUGAUGGGGUUAGCGGUAACGCGAAGCUCUUGAUCGAAGCCCCGGUAAACGGCGGCCGUAACUAUAACGGUCCUAAGGUAGCGAAAUUCCUUGUCGGGUAAGUUCCGACCUGCACGAAUGGCGUAAUGAUGGCCAGGCUGUCUCCACCCGAGACUCAGUGAAAUUGAACUCGCUGUGAAGAUGCAGUGUACCCGCGGCAAGACGGAAAGACCCCGUGAACCUUUACUAUAGCUUGACACUGAACACUGGUCCUUGAUGUGUAGGAUAGGUGGGAGGCUUUGAAGCGUGGACGCCAGUCUGCGUGGAGCCGCCCUUGAAAUACCACCCUUUAAUGGCUGGUGUUCUAACGUAGACCCGUAAUCCGGGUUGCGGACAGUGUCUGGUGGGUAGUUUGACUGGGGCGGUCUCCUCCCAAAGAGUAACGGAGGAGCACGAAGGUUAGCUAAUCCUGGUCGGACAUCAGGAGGUUAGUGCAAUGGCAUAAGCUAGCUUGACUGCGAGAGUGACGGCUCGAGCAGGUGCGAAAGCAGGUCAUAGUGAUCCGGUGGUUCUGAAUGGAAGGGCCAUCGCUCAACGGAUAAAAGGUACUCCGGGGAUAACAGGCUGAUACCGCCCAAGAGUUCAUAUCGACGGCGGUGUUUGGCACCUCGAUGUCGGCUCAUCACAUCCUGGGGCUGAAGUAGGUCCCAAGGGUAUGGCUGUUCGCCAUUUAAAGUGGUACGCGAGCUGGGUUUAGAACGUCGUGAGACAGUUCGGUCCCUAUCUGCCGUGGGCGCUGGAGAAUUGAGGGGGGCUGCUCCUAGUACGAGAGGACCGGAGUGGACGCAUCACUGGUGUUCGGGUUGUCAUGCCAAUGGCACUGCCCGGUAGCUAAAUGCGGAAGAGAUAAGUGCUGAAAGCAUCUAAGCACGAAACUUGCCCCGAGAUGAGUUCUCCCUGACUCCUUGAGAGUCCUGAAGGAACGUUGAAGACUACGACGUUGAUAGGUCGGGUGUGUAAGCGCAGCGAUGCGUUGAGCUAACCGAUACUAAUGAACCGUGAGGCUUAACCUU